UUUUUAAAGCAAUUUUUACUAAUAAUUUCUUCUAAUUUAGAAAUAGGUGGUUUCAAUAAAUUGUUUUGUUUUGUUCCUAUGUAACUUCUAAGUUGAAGAUAUUUGAAAAAAAAAUUUCCUCUGUAUGUUGUGUUUGGAUCUAAGUUCUUCAAAUGACAUCAUGCAGUCGGAGCCUGUUGGGUACAAAUCUUGAAUCUUCUCCAAUCCUUUUAGAGCCCAUUGCUUAAACACUGCGUCGGCUCUCCCAGGAACAAAAUCUUGAUUUCCCCAGAUUGGAGUCAGGCGUGACAGAGUAACCGGUUCUUUUAGAUGUCUCUUGACACUGUAGCAUAUCUUAACCAUAUUUUUUACGAUUGGGUUUCCAGUUUUCUUGAUCAAAUUAAGCUCUGUGUCAGAGAAAUGGUACAAGGGUAAUGCAGGACUUAAGACAUUACUUUCCAUUUCUGUCCACUGGGGGGCUUCAUUUGUACUAAAGUAAUACCCUAUUGAUCUGAGCUGGGCUGCCCAAUAAUGCCACACAAUGUUUGGGCACGUUAGGCCUCCUUCAUUGUAAGGCAAGUGGAGUAAAGACAGUCUUAUUCUAGAACGUUGUUUGGACCAUAUAAAUUCAAGGAGGAGUUUUUUGAACGUUUUAAACCAGUCAGCAGGUGGUGGCAAAGGAAUAUUCUGAAAAACAUACAAUAAUUUUGGAAUUGUAGUCAUUUUGUAAAUAUUAAUUUGGCCAAUCAGAGACAUGGGAAGAAGCAUCCAUCUAUUGACACUAUUUGUAAUUUCCUUAGUUACUGAUUCAUAGUUAUGCUGAACGAUCAAAUCUAAAUUUGGAAAAAUUUGUAUUCCUAGCUAAGUAAAUUGAGGGACCGAUUUAAGUUGUGAAAAGACUGCCGGUGGAGACUCUCUCUCUCCUUCAUCUAGCAAUAAAAUAGAGGAUUUGGAUCUGUUAAUUGCAUAUCCUGAGAUGUGACCAAACUCAUCAAUUAGUUUUAACAGAGCAGGAAUAGUUACAUUUAAUUGAGAAAGGAAUAAAAUUAUGUCAUCUGCAUAUAAUGAAAGCCUAUGUUCUACCUGACCAAUUGUGAUUCCAGUUACAUGUGAAUGUCACCGUACAGCUAUAGCAAAGGGUUCCAUGGCUAAAGUGAAUAGCAAAGGAGAUAAUGGACAUCCUUGGCGGCAUCCACGUUUAACUAAAAUGGGUUUGGAUAUGUUUUUGUUCGUUAAGAUCUCUGCAGUUGGGUGUAGAUAUAGCACUUGUACCCAUUUUCUAAAUUUAGGUCCGAGACCAAAGCGAGUUAACACAUAAAGAUAAGCCCACUCUACCCUAUCAAACGCUUUUUCAGCAUCUAGGGAGAGGAAGGCAGUAUCUGUAGUUUUCUCUAAUCCUUGAAUAAUGUUGCGAACGCUCCUUACAUUAUCUAGUCCUUGGCGACCUAAAAUAAGCCAUUUUGAGCCCUGUGAAUGAUUGAAGGAAGUAUUUCCUGUAAACGUGUUGCUAAUAUUUUACAAAGUGUUUUUAAAUCUGAAUUCAGCGGACUUAUUGGCCUCAUAUUUUCACAUUUAUUGCUAGGUUUCCCAGGCUUAGGCAGUAAGAUGAUUAACGUGUUAGUCAUUGAGUGAGGAAGGUCACCCUCUAUAAAUGCUUCUUGUAACAUUUCCAAUAUUGGUUUUACUAACUUUCCCUUAAACUUUUUAUAAAAGUCAGUUGGAAACCCAUCAGGUCCAGCUUUUUUACCUGUGCUCAUGGCAUCAGUAACUUCCAUUAUUUCCUGUUCACUGAUAUUGGCAUCCAAGUGUUGUUUAAGGUCAUCUGUAAUAUUUGGUAUGGUCACUGUGUCAAGAAAUAUAUUUUGUGCAUUUGGGUCGAUACUCCCCUGUGAAUCAUAAAGUUUUUCAUAAUAAUUUCUGAAUUCUUUAUUUAUCUCAAUUGGGUUCACAACAGAUUCCCCUUUUGUGUUUGUUAUUGAGGUUAUGUUUUUUUGUGCUUCCAAUUGUUUUAUUUGCCACGCUAAAAUCUUCCCAGGCUUUUCUCCCUGUUCAUAAAAAGAUUGAUUUAACCUGAAUAUAUUAGAGGCUGCCCUGUCCGCUGAUUCUUUAUCAUAUCGCGCCUUAACAGCAACAGCUCUUUCUCAACUAAUGAAUUUUGAUUACUGAACAAUUGUUUCUCUAGAUUUUUUAUCUUUUCUUCUAGUUGUUGUCUUUUAUUACGCUGUUCCUCAGAUUUUGAGAAGGUGUACGAAAUUAUAUAACCCCUUAAACAGACUUUAAAAGCUUCCCAUUUAAUACAAACUGUGGUUUCUGUCGUAUUUAUGUGAAAGUAUUCAUCAAUUUUGGUCUCUACAUAACUAACAAAGGCUUCAUCUUUAAGCCAUUUUAGAUGUAAGCACCAUCUAGGGGGAUCUGUCAUUAAAGUUUUAUGAAAAUAUUGCAGAUUACAUGAAGCAUGAUCUGAUAUUGUAAUACUGUCAUAGGAACAAUCGACCAUAUUAGAUAACAAGUCUGCUGAAAUCAGAAAGUAAUCUAUAUGAGAAUACGUUUUGAAUAUUUUAGAAUGACAUGAGUAUGUUUUAUCAGUCGGAUUAAAAUGUUGCCAAAUAUCUAUCAUCUGCAGCUCCUUCAUAAAGUUCUGGAUGAUUUUUCUGCUUUUAUGAUGAUUCUGGUCAAUUCCCGUAGGUCAAUCAAGGAGAGGAUUCAAAACACAGUUCCAAUCACCACCAAUGAUGUUUUUUCCUGGGAGAGAGGAAAUGGUUAGAAAGAGAUUUGUAAAAAAAGAGGCAUACAAAGAGCCCUGCCACCUCCUGCUUAUCCAGAUAUUUUCAUCCUCAAGAGUGUGGCUCUCUUGUAAGAAAACUAUUUUAGAGCCCAAAUCUUUAAUUUUGUUCAUAACCUGCUUGAUCUUUUUAGUUGUUAGUAAACCCCUGCAAUUCCAAGACGUGCAUUUAAUUUAAAAUUUUUGUCAUCUAAACCAAGCAUCAAGUACCUUAAUAUUACAAAAUGUAAAUGUGUCUGAGAGGUCACACACACUAAAAGACUGGAGCAUGAAGUGAAAGCUCCAAACUGCACAAAAACAAAAACCCUCUUCCCAGCUAACUGGGUAACCCCCAGAAAUACCUUACUUCCGACCGCAAACAUCUACAGAUCUACGGGAUCUGCUCUACUGUCAGUAAUGAACCAUAUCCCAACAUUCGUCUGCUACUGUAUUUAAGUAAUGUAUCCUUCUUAAGACAAGGUGAAUACUUGCUUUGUUUGAAAAUAAGGGAAAAGCUUAUUUAUCAGUUUGCAAUUUACAUUAAAUAUGUUGAGCUUAUCAUCUAAUAGAAACAAAUAAACAAGAUAGAUCUCACCAAAUAGGUCUGCAAAGUAAACAUUUAACAACAGUACGGAAGUGCUCCAGUCAAUCUAUUUCUUCAGUGUCCAUUUGAAUCUUUUUAACAAAACUCUUUGCCUCCGCAGGGGUUUUGAACUUGUGGACCUUCUCCUUGUAGGAAUCUCAUGAUAACUGUUCUCGGUGGUGCAUCUGCGUCCCUCUUUGGCCCGACGCGGUGCGCCCUUUCCAGGACUAAGGGGUGAGGCAUAGGAUUUAGAUCCAGCGCAUCCGGCAGCCAGAAACCAACUUUACUUAUUUAAUGUAUGAUUUAAAAUGUGAUCUCCACAUGCUGUAAUGCUGUACAGGUCAAACUGUGUGAAAACUACAGCCAUAUGUCAUGAAUUUAAUCUGUCAUCUGUUUGUUCCUCAUCAGUGAUUUAUUUCUUGAUGGAUUAUUGGAAAUGCUAAACUUGUUUUAAACUCCAUUUUGAUUGCAAAUAAACUUUUAAAAAACUC